GAUGAACGCUGGCGGCGUGCCUAAUACAUGCAAGUCGAGCGAACAGACGAGGAGCUUGCUCCUCUGACGUUAGCGGCGGACGGGUGAGUAACACGUGGAUAACCUACCUAUAAGACUGGGAUAACUUCGGGAAACCGGAGCUAAUACCGGAUAAUAUAUUGAACCGCAUGGUUCAAUAGUGAAAGACGGUUUUGCUGUCACUUAUAGAUGGAUCCGCGCCGCAUUAGCUAGUUGGUAAGGUAACGGCUUACCAAGGCAACGAUGCGUAGCCGACCUGAGAGGGUGAUCGGCCAAACUGGAACUGAGACACGGUCCCGAAUCCUAAGGGAGGCAGCAGUAGGGAAUCUUCCGCAAUGGGCGAAAGCCUGACGGAGCAACGCCGCGUGAGUGAUGAAGGUCUUCGGAUCGUAAAACUCUGUUAUUAGGGAAGAACAAAUGCGUAAGUAACUAUGCACGUCUUGACGGUACCUAAACAGAAAGCCACGGCUAACUACGUG
rnacentral:rRNA from 1 species